UGAUAAUAAUUCAAGGUUUAAUCUGCUCAAUGAUUAUUUAAAUUGCCGCAGUAUUUUAACUGUGCAAAGGUAGCAUAAUAAUUAGCUUUUUAAUUGAAAGCUGGAAUGAAUGAUUGGACGAGAAAAUUUCUGUCUCUUUAUUAAUUUUAUUUAAUUUUACUUUUAAGUUAAAAGGCUUAGAUUUUUUUAAAAGACGAGAAGACCCUAUAGAGUUUAAUUUAAUUUAGUUGGGGUGACUAAAAGAUUUAUAAAACUCUUUUAAUUAUAAUCAAUUAUUGUUGAAUACAAAAUCUAUAUUUUUAAAUUUAAAAUAAAUUACCUUAGGGAUAACAGCGUAAUUUUUUUUAAAAGUUCAUAUUAAAAGAAAAGUUUGCGACCUCGAUGUUGGAUUAAAAUUUAUUUUGGGUGUAGAAGCUUAAAUAUUAAGUCUGUUC
rnacentral:rRNA from 1 species